AACUUCGCUCCCCGUCGCUGCCAAUUCAGCGACCGGGCCUGAUAACCCGAGUA
rnacentral:ncRNA from 1 species